rnacentral:rRNA from 1 species
UAGAAUUCCACGUGUAGCGGUGAAAUGCGUAGAGAUGUGGAGGAAUACCGGUGGCGAAGGCGGCCUUCUGGACAGAUACUGACGCUGAGAUGCGAAAGCGUGGGGAGCAAACAGGAUUAGAUACCCUGGUAGUCCACGCUGUAAACGAUGUCGAUUUGGAGUUUGUUGCCUAGAGUGAUGGGCUCCGAAGCUAACGCGAUAAAUCGACCGCCUGGGGAGUACGGCCGCAAGGGUUAAAACUCAAAUGAAUUGACGGGGGCCCGCACAAGCGGUGGAGCAUGUGGUUUAAUUCGAUGCAACGCGAAGAACCUUACCUGGUCUUGACAUCCACAGAAUCUUGCAGAGAUGCGAGAGUGCCUUCGGGAACUGUGAGACAGGUGCUGCAUGGCUGUCGUCAGCUCGUGUUGUGAAAUGUUGGGUUAAGUCCCGCAACGAGCGCAACCCUUAUCCUUUGUUGCCAGCGAUUCGGUCGGGAACUCAAAGGAGACUGCCGUUGAUAAAGCGGAGGAAGGUGGGGACGACGUCAAGUCAUCAUGGCCCUUACGACCAGGGCUACACACGUGCUACAAUGGCGUAUACAAAGGGAGGCGACCUCGCGAGAGCAAGCGGACCUCAUAAAGUACGUCUAAGUCCGGAUUGGAGUCUGCAACUCGACUCCAUGAAGUCGGAAUCGCUAGUAAUCGUGAAUCAGAAUGU